GCAGCGUUGUCCGAGUGGUUAAGGAGAUUGAAUAGAAUUCAAUUGGGCUCCGCCCGCGUAGGAUCGAAUCCUGCUCGCUGCG
rfam:Angiostrongylus costaricensis strain Costa Rica genome assembly, scaffold: ACOC_scaffold0002389